UGAGGAAUAUUGCACAAUGGGCGCAAGCCUGAUGCAGCGACGCCGCGUGUGGGAUGAAGGGGCUACGCCUCGUAAACCACUGUAGCCCGGGACGAAAAACGCCUUAGAGGCGUUAGACGGUACCGGGAAAGUAAGGGUCGGCUAACUACGUGCCAGCAGCCGCGGUAAUACGUAGGACCCAAGCGUUGUCCGGAAUUACUGGGCGUAAAGGGCGUCUAGGUGGGACGUCAAGCGGGGUGUGAAAGCUCCUGGCUUAACUGGGAGAGUGCGCUCUGAACUGACGACCUAGAGGGCAGGCGACGGAGGUGGAAUUCCCGGUGGAGUGGUGAAAUGCGUAGAGAUCGGGAGGAACACCAGUGGCGAAGGCGGCCUCCGAGCCUGAACCUGACGCUGAAGCGCGAGAGCGUGGGGAGCAAACG
rnacentral:rRNA from 1 species